CCUACGGGUGGCAGCAGUGAGGAAUCUUGGUCAAUGGGCGGAAGCCUGAACCAGCCAAGUCGCGUUCGGGAAUCAGGCCCUACGGGUCGUAAACCUCUUUUGCCGGGGAGCAAGGGCCGGGACGAGUCCCGUUCCUGAGAGUACCCGGUUAAAAAGCAUCGGCUCACUCCGUUCCAUCAGCCGCGGUAAUCCGGAGGAUGCGAGCGUUAUCCGGAUUUAUUGGGUUUAAAGGGUUCGUAGGCGGGCGUUUAAGUCAGCGGUAAAAAUUCGGGGCUCACACCCGUCCGGCCGGUGAAACUGGGUGCCUUGAGUGGGCGAGAAGAAGGCGGAAUGCGUGGUGUAGCGGUGAAAUGCAUAGAUAUCAUACAGAACACCGAUUGCGAAGGCAGCUUACCAAUCUAUAUCUGACGUUGAGGCACGAAAGCGUGGGGAGCAAACAGGAUUAGAUACCCGUGUAGUC
rnacentral:rRNA from 1 species